ensembl:snRNA U1 U1 spliceosomal RNA
AUAUCUACCUGGCAGGGAAGAUGCCAUCAUCACAAAAGUUGUUUUACCAGGGCGAGGCUUAUCCAUUGCCUUCCAGAUGUGCUGACCCCUGCGAUUUCCCCAAAUGUGGAAACCUCGACCGCAUAAUUUGUGGUGGUGGGGACUGCGUUCAUCCUUUCCUCU